rnacentral:rRNA from 1 species
CCAGGAUGUUGGCUUAGAAGCAGCCAUCAUUUAAAGAAAGCGUAAUAGCUCACUGGUCGAGUCGGCCUGCGCGGAAGAUGUAACGGGGCUAAACCAUGCACCGAAGCUGCGGCAGCGACGCUUAUGCGUUGUUGGGUAGGGGAGCGUUCUGUAAGCCUGCGAAGGUGGCCUGUGAGGGCUGCUGGAGGUAUCAGAAGUGCGAAUGCUGACAUAAGUAACGAUAAAGCGGGUGAAAAGCCCGCUCGCCGGAAGACCAAGGGUUCCUGUCCAACGUUAAUCGGGGCAGGGUGAGUCGACCCCUAAGGCGAGGCCGAAAGGCGUAGUCGAUGGGAAACAGGUUAAUAUUCCUAUACUUGGUGUUACUGCGAAGGGGGGACGGAGAAGGCUAUGUUAGCCGGGCGACGGUUGUCCCGGUUUAAGCAUGUAGGCGGAGGUUCCAGGUAAAUCCGGUACCUUUUAACGCUGAGGUGUGAUGACGAGGCACUACGGUGCUGAAGUAACAAAUGCCCUGCUUCCAGGAAAAGCCUCUAAGCAUCAGGUAACAUCAAAUCGUACCCCAAACCGACACAGGUGGUCAGGU